GGAAGGAUCAUUAUUGAAAUAAACCUGAUGGGUUGCUGCUGGUUCUCUAGGGAACAUCUGUGCACACCUGUCAUCUUUAUAUCUCUCCACCUGUGCACUUUUUGUAGACCUAGAUAUCUCUCUGAAUGCGCCCGCAUUCAGGUUUGAGGAUUGAUUUUUCCUAGUCUCUCCUUACAUUUCCAGGUCUAUGUUUUUAUAUAUACCCCAAAUCUAUUGUAUUAGAAUGUCAUAAAUUGGGUUUUUUAUGCCUAUAAAUUUUAUACAACUUUCAGCAACGGAUCUCUUGGCUCUCGCAUCGAUGAAGAACGCAGCGAAAUGCGAUAAGUAAUGUGAAUUGCAGAAUUCAGUGAAUCAUCGAAUCUUUGAACGCACCUUGCGCUCCUUGGUAUUCCGAGGAGCAUGCCUGUUUGAGUGUCAUUAAUAUAUCAACUUCAUCAACCUUGUUGAGUGAGUGUUGGAUGGUGGGGGUUGUUUUGUUGGCCUUUUGAAAGACAAAGGUCAACUCCCCUAAAAUGUAUUAGCAGAACAUUUUGGUUGACCAUUUGCUGGUGUGAUAACUAUCUACGCUAUUGAUGGUAAGGCCAAGUUCAGCUUCUAGCAGCCCAUUAAGUUGGACAUUUUUUAUCAUCAAUGUGACCUCAAAUCAG
rnacentral:rRNA from 1 species